UACGUAGGGUGCAAGCGUUGUCCGGAAUUAUUGGGCGUAAAGAGCUCGUAGGCGGUCUGUCGCGUCUGCUGUGAAAACUCAGGGCUUAACCCUGAGCUUGCAGUGGGUACGGGCAGACUAGAGUGCGGUAGGGGAGACUGGAAUUCCUGGUGUAGCGGUGAAAUGCGCAGAGUAUCGAGGAGGAACACCGGUGGCGAAGGCGGGUCU
rnacentral:rRNA from 1 species